rnacentral:rRNA from 1 species
UACGAAGGGGGCUAGCGUUGUUCGGAAUUACUGGGCGUAAAGCGUGCGUAGGCGGUUCGUUAAGUCCGUUGUGAAAGCCCUGGGCUCAACCUGGGAAUGGCAGUGGAUACUGGCGAGCUAGAGUGUGAUAGAGGAUGGUGGAAUUCCCGGUGUAGCGGUGAAAUGCGUAGAGAUCGGGAGGAACACCAGUGGCGAAGGCGGCCAUCUGGAUCAACACUGACGCUGAGGCACGAAAGCGUGGGGAGCAAACAGG